GUAUACCUACUCAUCUCAUCAGGCACAUUUUCAAACAUUGAACUUCCUUAGAAAAUGGCACUUUAUAUAUUCAUCCCCAACUAGAAUAUAAGAAAGAGCAAUUAAGCAGUUGAAAAGCAAAUUAAGUUAUUGUCGUUUAAAUGUUAUUUGUUAUUGUAAUAUUUAUUAGGGUUUUUAUUUAGGACCGAGAUCUGUGUUUACCACGGUCAUCAAUUUAUUUUCCCGGUGAAUUGGUGGAUCCAAUGCUGCGAUCUAUUUCUUUUGUAAUUAGUUCGCCAAAUAAUGCUUGUGACGUUUACAGACAGCAUGACAAUCACAUCCGUAGAGGAAUGUUAUGUGUGGGAGAUUCAAGACAUAUUAAACCAGUAGCACCAUGUUUAGGGGUGCCAGGUGCAGCGCUGAUUCUUCGUGGUAAACUGGUUGGCCUCCUGUCUUGGGGACUAGGUUGUGGCUACGCACACGACCUGCCACUAAUUUAUACGAACAUACAGCAUUAUUUCUCGUGGUUGGUAAGAAACGUUGAAUUUUUAAAUAACAUCACCCGUCAACACAUUAAGGAAUUAUUCGUGGUAACAAAAUCCUAUAAACUAUCAGUUUGGCUACAAAGGACAAGAGAAAAACUCAUGGUGCAGCCAGAAAGGCGAUAUAAUUUACAACCGCUAUCCAUUGAUACGACUCUGUCCAAAUUAGAAGGACGACUAUAUGAUAUAAGAGAUUUCAUAAAUAAUGGUACAUAUCGAUCAGAAAAAAAAGAAAUGUAUAAGGAAAUGAAAGUGCAACACAAUAUGACGGCUAUUCAUUUUCACCCCUAUAGCCCCCUAAAGACAGUACCUUUUCUUAGCAAUGAGAGCCUUCACGAUGAAAUAGAAUAUGACUAUGACUCGGAUGUUGAAGAUCAAUUUGAUUAAGUGUUAUUGAUUGAGAUUUUAUUAGAAAAGUAUAAAUCCGGUAAAUCGUAAGUGCCCUGCC